UUUUGAAAGAAUUUCAUAAAUUUUGGUUGAACUCCAGGAUAGCUCUGCAUGGUGAUUCUGAUAGUGGUAGCGUUAUCGAAAUUGGAUUUGGAGGUCCUAUAGGUCAUUUUGGAGUCAUUUAGCUAAAGUUAAAAAUUUGAAGGUCUUUGAGAAGUUUGACUGGAAGUGGACUGCUUAGAUAUCGGGGUCGGAUUUUGAUCCGGAAGUUGGAGUAGGUUUGUAACGUCGAAUGUGACUUAUGUGUAAAAUUUGAGGUCAAUCAGAUGUGAUUUGAUA
rnacentral:lncRNA from 1 species